GGGGCUUUGGUGCCAUUUGUAAGGGCACGGCGCCUGUGGAUUCACUCACACCUAAGAGGGCUUGGACUGCAGCCUUUCCCUUCGUGGGGUCAUGCAUGCUCCCCACCGCUGUCACGAAACGACAUGCUUUUCCGAGAUCUUUGUGAGUUUCCUUGGUACAGCAGAAACUGGAAAGAGACCUUUGUUCCUUAUUCCUACUUGUUCUCCUCUAUUCAGGACUCCUUUUUACCACCAAAAAAAAGCGUUUCAGAGUCCAUUUUAGUAAGCUGCUUUGGUGGGUUUCAAAGCUGGGCUUUGAGAAGUGCCUUCCCCUGAUUCUGGGAGGGAGUCUAGGGAAGGAUGUUAGAUUUUGUGGGGAAGGUUGCAUAUUUUUGCCUUCCUUGAGGAGACAGUCAUGUUUGUUUACUUUUGGGUGAAAGGCUAGUUUCUGAUACAGAGCUUUUGUGAUGGAGAUAAAAGAAGCAGAAGAAAAACUGGAAAAUAAACAAUUCAUUAAUGCUUUUGGGGAAAUCUUUAGUCUCAGCUUAAAUUGCACUUUAUGUAGGGAUAGCUCUAUGUCAAACUAUUCUAUGUGCCUUAAAUGACAAAACAGGGAAGACAGAAGAACUAUUUUUAUUCUACCAGCAACUGAGUUCUCUUCAAAAUUCCAUCUCUUAACUGGAUAGAAACAUCAUUAUAUUAUUUUUCUGCAUGUCUGCAUGCCAGGUUUUUUCCCUCUGCAGAGCUGAAGUUAUAAUAGCUUUGCAGUCUUUCACAGCAUAAAAACGAUUCCCUUCGGAAGCCCUCGGAAUUCUUGAAAUCAUCUGAGCAUUAAAGCCCAGCUGUGCUGUCUCUGGGCUCAUUUCCUCGUGCUUGGACUUCUCUGAGGCUGAACAUUCACUUCUGUGUGGAAUUACUUUCUGGGUUGUGAGGGACAGAAAGGUUAGUUCUCUCAUUUUGGUAGGGGAUGUCAUAGACCAGUUUUCUUCAAUACAGUUUUCAGUAAAGGGUAAAAGUAAAUAUUCCUUAUAUGCUUUGAAGAACUGAGUAUGUGGUUUAGACUCUUAGAAAUAAGGGAUUGUUAGUAAAUAAGCAGUGGUUCAUUGGAGCUUUCCAUAAUGGUACUUGUUAACAUAGGCACAGAGUAGUACUUGGAAUUCAUAUUUGCUUUAUAACUUGCUUUCUCUUAAGUGAUUUGGCAAAUACUUGUUUUCCUAAGCCAUAUGCAGGAAUAAAUUUUAUACUUAUGGAAAACUUAGAAAUUAUACUCUCAUAAGCGUGUAUGUGUGAUUUACUUGGGGUACUAGAAAAAAAGUUUUUUUCAUAGGCUACCCCAAAACUCUUACGAAAAUUCUUGCAUCUUCCUUUAACACUUACAGCUAUCGGAAAUACAACCUUGGGCCAAAAUGGAGCAGCAGGUCUACUCUUGGGCUCUUGAUUGAUUGAUUGAUUGAUUUAUUAACUAUUACCAAAAACCCCCAGGGCUUUCAUUUAUGUGCUAAUUCUCUCGGCCACGCUGGCUCUCUAAUCUUUUUCUGCCUUUGGCAACAGCACUUGUGUACUGCUGACUUGUGUGAGUGCUGUCCUCCAAGGAACAGGGAAUGUGUGUGUAUAAAGCAGUCAGUUGAUUUCCAUGACACUUUAUUCUGUGUCAUUGUGGAUGAACUCUUUGCAUUUCCAUGACCUUGCUAUGUCUCUGAACUUUCAGGGACACAGCUUUACUUUAUCCUCAGUGUAACCUGUGUUUCUCUGUGUCACUGCUGUGAUAGCAUUGCACUGGUGAUGUCCUCGGUGUCAUACUCCCAGUGUCUCAACACCCAAACUCCAGACAAAGCUUCCAGAGCUGCCGGGGUGGAGUUGGCAAAGUCCCCCUCAUCUUCAAUGAUUUCUGUAAAAAAAAAAAAUUAGAGUUCUUAUUAACUAAGGAGGUCUUGAGUUAUGUCUUGAGGAUCACUGACUUCAGGAUGCCGGUGAGGACACUGCUGUACAAAGAUUAAAUGGUGAAGGACGCACUGCGGAUCGAUGACAGCUGCUUCUGCCUCCCACCCUGUUCUCAGUCCAUUCAAGAAUAUUGCAACGUUGAGCAAUAAAGCGUAAUCUAG